rnacentral:lncRNA from 1 species
GAAAUUCUUUCCGGAAUUGGCUCAUAUUCACAUAGGCCAAGAAAGGCAUGUCACGCGCAUUGAAUUGAAACUUUGCACCGGCCGUAGAUUAUAUUUUAUCAAUUUUAACAUAACCACGAUCGACCUUUUUGAAGUCUUUGGAAAUGUUUCAAGAGCUAAUAAUUCAAUUAAAGGGUGAAGUCCAUUUUAUCCGUCCGAACUUGUCGAGGAGCUUUUCUAAAACAAAUAUUGAACUCGAAAACCAAACAUCAUGCAUCCUCCCACAGUCCCACUCUCAAAACCAAACAAAUUAUCCCCACAGCAGUUGGAUUUGGAUGACAUGAAGUCCAAUUACUUCUCU